rnacentral:rRNA from 1 species
GGGCCCGCACAAGCGGUGGAGCAUGUGGUUUAAUUCGAAGCAACGCGAAGAACCUUACCAGGUCUUGACAUACUCGUGCUAUCCUUAGAGAUAAGGAGUUCCUUCGGGACACGGGAUACAGGUGGUGCAUGGUUGUCGUCAGCUCGUGUCGUGAGAUGUUGGGUUAAGUCCCGCAACGAGCGCAACCCUUAUUACUAGUUGCCAUCAUUAAGUUGGGCACUCUAGUGAGACUGCCGGUGAUAAACCGGAGGAAGGUGGGGAUGACGUCAAAUCAUCAUGCCCCUUAUGACCUGGGCUACACACGUGCUACAAUGGAUGGUACAACGAGUCGCCAACCCGCGAGGGUGCGCUAAUCUCUUAAAACCAUUCUCAGUUCGGAUUGCAGGCUGCAACUCGCCUGCAUGAAGUCGGAAUCGCUAGUAAUCGCGGAUCAGCACGCCGCGGUGAAUACGGG